rnacentral:misc_RNA from 1 species
AAGUCGUAACAAGGUUUCCGUAGGUGAACCUGCGGAAGGAUCAUUAUUGAAGAGCAGUCUUCAUACCCCUGUGAACCGUCGUCCUCGGACGCCAUAUAAACUCUAGUGUUGUCGACGAAAGUGUUAUACCAUAACAAGCAUAACUUUUAGCAACGGAUCUCUUGGCUCUC